rnacentral:tRNA from 1 species
GGAACAUAGCUCAGUGGUAGAGCUCAUGCUCAGCAUGCACAAAGUCCUGGGUUCAAUCCCCAGUCCUUCCA